AGUGAACGCUGGCGGUAGGCCUAACACAUGCAAGUCGAACGGCAGCACAGUAAGAGCUUGCUCUUACGGGUGGCGAGUGGCGGACGGGUGAGGAAUACAUCGGAAUCUACUUUUUCGUGGGGGAUAACGUAGGGAAACUUACGCUAAUACCGCAUACGACCUACGGGUGAAAGCAGGGGAUCUUCGGACCUUGCGCGAUUGAAUGAGCCGAUGUCGGAUUAGCUAGUUGGCGGGGUAAAGGCCCACCAAGGCGACGAUCCGUAGCUGGUCUGAGAGGAUGAUCAGCCACACUGGAACUGAGACACGGUCCAGACUCCUACGGGAGGCAGCAGUGGGGAAUAUUGGACAAUGGGCGCAAGCCUGAUCCAGCAAUACCGCGUGGGUGAAGAAGGCCUUCGGGUUGUAAAGCCCUUUUGUUGGGAAAGAAAAGUAGCAGGUUAAUACCCCGCUGUUCUGACGGUACCCAAAGAAUAAGCACCGGCUAACUUCGUG
rnacentral:rRNA from 1 species